ACAUUCAGGUAAUCGCUGCAUCAUUUGAUGUAGAGGAAAGUCCAUGCUCGCACGGUCUGAGAUGAUCGUAGUGUUCGUGCCUAGCCAAAAAAUAAGCUAGGGCAAUUUGGUCAAGUAGACUAGAUUGACGGCAGGGAAAAGCACCUAAGGUUAAUUUGACUAUGGGCGAGUACCCUUGAAAGUGCCACAGUGACGAAGCUCUCCUGGAAACGGAAGAGGUGGAACGCGGUAAACCCCACGAGCGAGAAACCCAAAUUUGGUAGGGGAACUAUCUCGAAGGAAUUAAACGGAGAGAUAGACAGAUAGCAGUUGUUAUCUGUAGAUAGAUGAUUACCACCGGAGUACGAGGGUAAAACCGUUUGCAGUACUAAGGUACAAAACAUGGCUUAUCGAA
rnacentral:RNase_P_RNA from 2 species